GGACUACAGGGGUAUCUAAUCCUGUUCGAUACCCGCACUUUCGAGCUUCAGCGUCAGUAGUGCUCCCGUCAGCUGCCUUCGCAAUCGGAGUUCUUCGUCAUAUCUAAGCAUUUCACCGCUACACGACGAAUUCCGCCAACGUUGCGCACACUCAAGCUCUGCAGUUCGCGCUGCAAGUUACCGGUUGAGCCGGCAAAUUUCACAACACGCUUACAAAGCGGCCUACGCUCCCUUUAAACCCAAUAAAUCCGGAUAACGCCCGGACCUUCCGUAUUACCGCGGCUGCUGGCAC
rnacentral:rRNA from 1 species